rnacentral:miRNA from 1 species
AUUGGGACUUUAGCAUUUUCAUG